AGCUUGACUCUAGUCUGGCACGG
rnacentral:piRNA from 3 species